rnacentral:pre_miRNA from 1 species
CAGGUCUUGUUGGAGAAGCAGGGCACGUGCAAGUUAUCAGCUCUCGACCUGUCCGGUCACCCUCGAUCGGCUCUGCACGUGCUCCCCUUCUCCAACACGGGUUC